CUGCAUUGCUGAUGGGAUGCAUCUCCAAUGGGCUACGUCUCCCGGUAAGGCCUCAAGACGAGGAGCAGGAGCUCGCUAAUGCUGAUUAAAACCAUCGUCCCAGGGGAGGAGAAAAUGAGAAAUGGAUCGCGUGCUGCUGGUCUGCUGAAGGUGCUGGAUUUCAGAGAGCAUCUGUGAUUUUUAAAAGCUUUUUUGAAAAGACAUAGUCAUUGUUGGGUAGCGCGAGGUCCUCUCGCUCCCUGAUCAGGCCCCAGAAAGUGCUGCGAGAGCUGCAGGGUGGAACAGGAGGAGCCUUUGUGUUUGGUACGUACAGGACUGAAGCUUGCCUCGGUGUCCCGUUGGAAGCUGGCUCUGGCCUCCCCUCCCUGGCUUCAGUCUUCUUGUAACGGAGCAUCCCAGGAACGACCUAGUCUUUUUGUCAAGUAUUUUAAAAUAAUAUAACUGCUGUAGUGAGGGAGAAACGAUCAGAAUUGUGGCAGGAAAAAAGCAGUCUGUGCAAUCAUGGAACUGAUAAAUUACAGAAAGGCUUAACAGCAGCGGCUGGUGAUUGCAAGGCACUUUGCAGUUUUUACAACAGCUUUACUUUUUACUUUACAACAGUAACUUUUCCUCUCGGGUCCCAGCUUUCAGCCUUUUUUGAUGAAAGUUUGAGUUAAACCGGCAUCGGCAUUGCUGCUCGGCAUUGCCUGCAACAAGGCUUUACUCCUGUCUUCUUUCCCCCUCUUCUCAGCACUCGUUGCACAUGAGCUCUUGCUGUCAAGGUUGCUGGCACUGGGUUUGCUGCCUGUCCCUGCUGAGCAGCAGCGCUGGGGGUUUGCCCCCCCGACCGCAGAGGCUGCUGCUUGGCUGCAGAACGGCCGAGGGAUGCGGAGCAUGGUGGGGGCAGCCGGAGCAGGAGCUGCUGUCCCCCCUAAGCUCUGGGACAUACGGUGGGUGCGUGUUACGGGAUGCUGGGAGUGAUGCGUUAGUCCAGAGAGGUAUCGCAGAGGCACAGCAUCUCUCUGCAGCCAUGGGUGAAGGGGGCAGAGGGUCUCGCCCUGAUGCUCGGUCCGUGUGGGGAGCGGGCUGGCUGGCAGCUGCGGCAAGAAAAUGGUUCAGAAUUGACUGUUGGUUUUCUGCUUUCAGCAGUGAGUGUGUCAGCAGGAAGGAUGCUUGUUCUACCUGAACAGAAGUCAAAGGGCUGGAUGUCAGAUAGGAAGGAGGAUGCAGGUGCCUCCAUCCCUGGUCUGGCACUGGCAACCUGCAGCCAGCAGCAGGUAAAGCUCCUUGCGGGUGGCACUGAGGCAGGAGCGGGUGCACGGAGACCCCCUCCAUCUGGGUGCCUGGGCAAUUCACAGCUGCCGCUCAGUGUCGGGGGAGCAGGAGCGUGUAAAGUUGGGGUGUUUGGUCCCGCGGGGGCAGCAGGAGGGAGGCACCGAGCCCCAGCCUGGCUGGGAAGAGCCCUGCGUGCUCUGGGCUUGGUGACACCCCAACCCCUGCCUUCAGGGACCUGGGGUUUGGGCAGGCACAUGGUGAUGGGCAGCGCUGUUCACAUGGGGUUUUUUCUUGGUGGAAGGCUCAGAGCAAGGAAGCGCCCCUUCCUCGGGGAGUUUCUGAAUAUGUAACACAAAGCCUGAACAUGACACAAGCUGAGCAGUGCUUGGUGGCUCCGACAGCGUUUGGCUCUGUGUGCAGCCUGCUCAGGGUGAGCGGGGCGAGUUUCCCACAAACAUGUUUCCAGGCCGGUCUCCGGACCGAUGCUCCCAUGUGAGAUGGGUUCUCCAAAGGGCUGUUUGGCACGGCGGAGCCCUCGUGGCUCUGUUAACUGCCCUCCCACAUGGGCACGGCUCCACUCUCGGUGGGCAGAUUUCUGCCUGCUAAGGUUCCGUAAUCGCCUGCUAUAAAUUGAAACUUGUAUGGCUCCUUUUGGUAAAUGCAAAAUGGAAUUAUUUUAUUUUUACUACACAGCUUGUUUAGCUUCCAGAUGGCAAACCAACAUGAAGUAAUGGAAGUGCAACAUAGUUUUGUUAUAAUGGAUAUGUAAACGUGAUAUUUAUUCACUGCAAUAGACUGCUGUGAACCAUAUUCCAGCAGUAACCUUUUAAAUCCAUCACUUGGCUGCACAUAAGUGUGGUCUAAAAGGGACUUCUAAGGGAUUUGUUUUUUUCUGGAGGAUUUUUUUUAAUCAUUGAAAAGAAAGGGGAGUGUUUUCCAUCUUUUGCCUUAAUGUGUGGACUGGGAAACGUCAGGAAAAAAAAAAAUCUGCUGAGAUUUGUGUUUUGGGAUUUUGGGUGUGUUGGGUUUUCCAGCCUAACGCCUUUGUAAGCGCUCUCUGAGCAGUCUGAAAACGUCUCCAGUAAGACAACUUACUAUGAAUUUCCCCAAACUCAGUUGAUUCAGCUGUAUUUAGGAGCUCCAUCAUCUACUUGGCGGUGCUCUGGCUCCUCUGUGUCGCAUGCCACCGGCAGGGGUGAGCACAGUCACCCUUCCCACCGCUUGGGGAUUUCUGACUCUGGCGCCACCCGUUUUGAUGGGUCCAUCACCACCAAAUCUGCAUUUCCAGAGGUGAGCAUCUGUACUUAAAGUAUAAUUAUUCCUCCUCUUCACUCUUUGGAGCAACUAUUCCACCAUUUUUGUGAACAAGCGGGGCAGGCUGCACUGCCUGUUUCCCCUUUGGGUGAAGGUGCCGAGGGCACCGAGAUGAUCUCCCGGCAGGACCGGUGGGGCUUAGUGCCAGGUCACUUGGUUACUUGUUGUUUCUCCCCCUGUUUUUAGCUUCUUUAAAAGAAAAAAAAAAAAGCCGAGCCCCUCUGAACAUUACUUCGGUGGUGUCACUCCUCGGUGUACACAAGUGCUGUGGCAGGAGCGGUGACACUGUCUGCUGGGCCCUUGCGGAACCGCCACCCGCACGCUGCCUGUGCCUGCAGCACCGGCCUUGGCCCUCUGGCACCACCGUGAAAAAUUGGCACGGGAUGGGCAGGGAUGCGGGUGUGAAGCACCAAGCUGACAAAGUCUAAGCAAGAAGGAACCCCCCCAGCAUUUAAUUAAACUUGAGGAGAAAAUGGCUCCAAAUGAGCCGCUGCCCAUGUGUGGUGGGUCCCGGGGGAGCUUCCCCCUCCCCGUAUCUCCCACCUCAUUCCCUGCCCUCCCGGGGUCCGUCUGCACGGGACGGUUGAUCCCACAGUCACGGGGCAGCGCAGGCAUUUGAGCGGGGCUGCCUGCGUGUGCCCGAGGAAUGGAGGGACUGCGCUUCCACCGAGACAGCGUGCCCACUCACCGCCCGACCUGCCUCGGGCGCCCAGGCAUGAGCCAAGCCCACGGCACCGACACCAGCACCGGGGCCUGCUGGGGGCCGUCGUGGCUGAACCCAGCAGGUGCAUUGGCGUCAGACGGGGAGAGCAGCCACGGCGAAGGUUCCUGCUUUCCUGGGGCUCCAGAGGGACAAGGGACCGUGAGCAGCCGCCGGCACUUCCCUGCCCGUCAGUCUCCCUUAAAAAAUGUAUUUCAUAAAGCUUUUUCCCCAGGCGCUGGAAAUUUGUGUUUCAGAGGAAAACUCAGAAAUUUUCAAGUACGAGGCAAGGCUCCUGGCCUCCUCACCUCUGGAGGAUGCAGCCUCCUGCAAAGUUUUUGUUUUGAUGUAGCAAAACCCCUGUGAGCUGAGGAUAGGUAUUAGAGCCCUUUCGUCUGUCAGGUCACCAGUUUGUGUCUCGAGGACCUUUUCCCAGUCUCCUGAACCAGCGACAGAGUCUUGGAGCAACUGUAAAUGCUUUUUAAACUGUCCUUAACCUCUGUGCUGAUUUGGGCUACAAGGAAGAAAAUGGAAACAUGCUAGAAGAACUACAUAUAACUCAACAAGGUGCCUAUCGAUAGAAGUUCAACACCUUUGUUUCUCUUAGGACACCAGACCACAUGGAAGUGUACAAAUAAAUGCCUCUGAGAGAUGCACAAUAGGGAAGGGGGAUGGGAGGAGGUUUCCACAUGUGGGCAUGUGCCAGAGUGGGAGCAUGGGCACAGGGAACGCUGGAAUUGCAAGGGCCUGCCCUUACAGUUUGCUGCGAUGGCACAAAUCUCUUUGACAAUUUAUUGAGGAUUAUUUAACCACCUGCUGAAAAGCAGUUGUUCUGGCUGGACUCUCGCUGACCGUGUGAAACAGUAAGAGGGGGAGAAAAAUGGCUGUGAAGGAUUUGUGUUGUAUUUCCAUAGCGCUUCUAAAAAGUGAAAUGGAUUCAGUUCCUGCUGUGCUUAGGCUACCCCUCCACAGGGCAAAAUCCUGCUCCGGAACAGUUUUGCAAGACUGAAAGCCCAAAUCCUGCUCCUGUCCCCCUCACUGGGACUGGACCAGCUUUCCGCAGAGGUGCGUGUGGUUCCCACCGGUACGGGCAAGCACAGUGCUGAGAGCACUCGUGUCCGCACCAGCAGCUCCAGGAGCAAGCAGUUGGCUCUGGGCUGUGGGGGUCCAGCCCAGCCAGUGCCACAGGCUCAGCGCUUGCCAUCAGCAGCUGGGCUGCGAUCAUGAAAAAUGCGUCUGGGUCUGGUAAGCCAGAGGGAUGAACGUCAGGGCAGGUGAUGGGCUGUUGGCAAGCCAAGGUGAAGGCUCCUGCAUGGCCAGCCCUGUUCCUGCCUUGGGGCUGCUCCUGCAGCAUCGGGUGGUAUCAGUCUAAAAUGUUACCCUGCCGCGUGCAGCUUCUGCUUUCUGAGCUCUUGGUGGGUCUGUAGUUGUAACACCUCAGCGCGCUGCUAUUAUCUGCCAACAUCCACCGGCAAAAGCGGAGGAUGAAUGCUGCUCCUGUCACCCCACACCUUCAUGUUUGCAGCACCUGAGCUUGUGACCGGCAGAAGGCUGGCACCGGCGGGCGCACGCCUCAGGAUGGUCACGGAGUGUUGCAUGGGCAGAUAAUCCUGUGUCAGGUGUGGUGGGGCUGUACAAGCGCUUCCACCUCUUUGCUUUGCCCCCCUUGAACCCUGGAGCAGCGUUGCCUUAAGGCCUGACUCCUGCUCUGGUCUGAAGCGCGCCUGACAGAUGGAUUUUAACAUCGUGACCCCUCCCCAAAGAGCUGGACUAAGUGUGUGCUUCGCUUGAAAUGUUGAAAUAGUAUGUCUAUGCUUGUCAGGAAGAAUAAAAUAGCUUUGUAACUUAGCAGAAGCUUGCACCGUGUUUCCCUCAGCACUUAGCUCUGCAGGCGCUGGCAGCAGCGCAGCAGCUCCGUGUUAAAGGAGGAUGUUGCUCGGGGUUAAUCAAGGCAGGGCGCUGGGUGCUGGCUAAAGCCUGAGGUCUGCAGGGACCCAGAACGGAGCUGGCACAGCGGGGAGGUCCCUGGUGGUUUGUGCCUUGGGGGGCUGCAGCCCCAGAGGCACUGGGCUGUGCGGGGCACAUUGGCACGAGGGUGGGCUCCUGCAGAACGAGCUGCUGCUGAGGCUCCAUGGGAAUAGCGCCUUGUUUGUGUUGGGAAGCGGAGAGAGAGCUCCGUCGUCUGCCAGAGCAGCUGGCAUGGCGGGCUGAGGGCACGCACGUGGCACGUCAUGGUCAGCAGUGCCUGAAGGAUGCAGGUGCGACCCAAACCAGUCUUCAGCGACACUGACCACCACGUGGUGCCUUUAGGUGCUGUCAUCCUCACCUGAGAGCUGUGAUUUUAGGAGAAAGGCUGGUGCUGGCUGGUGUGCUGGGGUGAGGUUUGAGCACCAGGUGGGUGUGCGGUGGCCGUGGCUGCCAGUCAGGCUCCGUCCCGCUAUGAACAGCCGGAACGGCCCAUCAGCAGGUGCCAGAUUCCUCCGGUCUCGGUUCCUUUUGUUCACCAUUGCUGUUUUCAGCUGAUCAUCAACUGAUUUCAGCGUCUUCCUUCUGUGUCGGCCUGCUCAAUGUAUGAGCAGCACCAAGACACCCACAGCCCUUUCCCACUGCAGGGACCUGUAUUUCUUGCAGACACCUCUGCUUCCCCAAGACCUCAGUGCACACUUGGGCAUCUCGCUCCUCUCUCUGCUUCCCUUCUAACCAAACCCUAGAAAUACCACUUCGUGUGUCGUGGCCAGCAGAGGUGCAGAGGGCUCUGCAGAGCCCCUGGGUGGGCAGGGACGCACAGCGCAGACCCUGCAGGUUUGCAGAAAGCUGGAAAUAUUGCAUGUGGCUGGAGCCCUUGUCCCCAGGGCCAUCCUGGGGGUGGCUGCUGCAGCUCUGCCCUACCUGCAGGUAGAUGCAGGCAUGUGUGGGUGCUGGUGCCAGCCCUGUGAGGCUUUCUGCCCCUGCACAUCCUGCUCUCAGGUGCUCUCGUCAUAUUUUUGGCUGAGAGGAAGAAGUUGUGCCUGAUCUGUGGUUAGAGCAGUUGACGUUUCUGUGUAUCGCUAAAUCAUAAUUGCUGGGUUGGAAAUGAUAGAACAUUAAAAAUUAAAUGCCCAUGUGGGUUACGCUGGGGGACAGCACCUCCCCACACGUGGCUGGUGUUCACCCCUGCAGAGGCGUGGGAGGGUUUGGAGACGGUUGAUACGUGGAAAAGCCUGGUGAUGUUAAAACUGUGUUUUGUUACAUUGUGUAUUGGUGGAUAAGGCCUAAUAGCUUUUAUUUGCUCUUCCCUGGCAGACCUGUGGUGUAUGAAUAUUAAUGCCUUUCACACAAAUGUGGAGGGUUUAGCUCUUUUCUAGGUUACGGCGCACAGAGCUCCUUAGGUGGGCGCAGGUGACGUGCUGCAGAGGUGCAUCAGGAGCUGCACUGAGCGACGGCGAAGCUGGGAACUGGAAAACUGCCAGCACCUCCCUCCUACAGUGACCAGUCCAAAGGAAAAAAAGGCUGGAGGUGGCCAGAAGUGCUCGAGGCAGUUCUGCAGCAGCCACCGGCUGCCCGUGACUUGCCGGGUUCAGGUGCAGCGGCCAAGAGUGAAACCUGUUACUUUUGGGGCUUGUUUGUCCUUUGCCACUGUCAGGUGUCGCUACCCACCUGUAGUUUUGCUAGGGCAAAGCUUUCUAAAAAAAAAAAAAAAAAAAAAAGCAUUUGAUUAGCUUAGUUUGCAAUGUUCAUGAGAUUUUUCAAAGGUAUUUCCUUUUUGAAAAGUUCUAACGUGUUUGUUUUGCAGAUGCAGCCGCCCCUUGCUGGCUUCCUCCCGGAACAAAGACCACCAAGGUCCACUCACUUCUUGGUUUUGUAACCACACCACUAACGGCAUUGCUACAGCUGCAGGGCCCCGCCAGCCUGCAGCUUCCUUUGCGAUCUGGCAAAACUUGCUGCAGUGAAAAUGAAAUACCUCAGCGGUGACGGGGGUAUUUUGUUCUUGCAACGUUUCCUGCCAGUGCCAGAAUCUCUGCAAUGCGAAAUAUUCUCUUACAGUCAACAUACUCUAAAUCAAGCUUUAGUAGGGCAGCUUGUUAAAAGGCACAAAAUCUUUAUUUUAUAUCAUUCACGCACACAGUGUAAACUUCAGUUUUGGUCCUGUGGUUCCUGCAGUAAAUACCUCCCUCCCCAGCCUCUGUUAUAAAGCACUAACAGGUCACACCUGGUGCAUAGUACCUGGUGAGAAGAAAAUCAGAACAUGUCUCUGAUCACCACAAGCCCAUCAGCAAAACCUUUUCCUCAUGUGUCUGAUGAUUAGCCAGCUUCCUCAAAAAGGAUCUGCAGCUGACAUUAAUCAGCAUGGAAUGUUUGCUAAUUGCUUCUGCUUUAAAAUAAAUACAGAUAUACCUGUGGAAGCAAAAGAGGAGGCAGAGUUCUAGCUGAAGCACUGUGGGUACAGCAGCAUGUGGUGGUGUAUCGCUCCCAGGAGCUUUUGUAGUGUGUAUUUGUUUUGUCACCGCACAGAAAUGUAUCUUCUUUAAAAAUUUGAUUCCUGAAACUUUAUACUAGUAAAUAGUCUUUGAUUUGAAGCUCUUGGUAGCAGAAUCAGUAUUUACAGUAUUUUUUGCAAUUUAUGCUGUUCUGUUUAUGCAAAAAAUACUCCUGCUCCAUUUGAGGUAGGAACAAAUGUGAUAUAUUCCAUGAGUUUCCAGCAGAUGAAAGAAGUAAGAUAAGUAAGAUUUAAGCGUAAGCAUUAGACAAUUUCCUAAUAUGACUGCUGAAACAGUCAUAUAUGGCAGAUACUUUUGAGUACCUCAGGAUUCAGCAUAUGUCAUACAAAUAAACAAGCAUUAUCUAUUGCUUCUAAAUUUCCAUUGACAUUAAUGUUCUUUUCUGAUGGACUAACUUGCCUUUAUUUAAAAAAAAAAAAAACCAAACUGGUGAAAUUGGUGAAAUGGAUUUGCUGAUACAGAAUUAUGAAAAUGAGGUGUGUGUCUGUAUAUAUAUAUGUGUGCAUGCACACACACCACUCGGCGAAGUUACUCGCCGUUUUUCUGACUUGCCUUUGUACGUUUCUAGCUAAGUUACAUUUCUGAAUACAGCAUCUGUCAUUAGUUUUGUGUUGUAACUUUCCCUCUCUGUGCGUGUUUUUGUAUCAGAAGUCAGAGCAGGCAGAAGCCAGGCUGUUCCAAUUUUGAGACUGCAUCAUAAACUUUUAGCACAACAGAAAUAUAAAUAGUAUUCAGUCGACUAGAGGAUCUUCUUAUCUCGAAAGCAUUUACAUUGUAACCGGGAAAUAUUAGCUCACUGCACGUAAUACAUUCCUAAUUGCUAGAAAACAUUUUAAAACCCUUUCAGAUGUAGGUUUUAGGAACAAGUAUCUCAUGGGGACAGACUCCAGCAUUUCCAAAUAGUCAGGGCUGACAAAAUGAAAUACGGGCUGUUACUCUGCAACUUCUGCUAGAUGAGGAAAAAUAACUGAGCAUUUGUUACACAGUCUUCAAAUUCCAAUAAAGCCUUAUCUAUAGCGUCUUGUGCUCUAUUAUGCAGUAUCUGUGUUGGGCAAUUAGCUAAAGCAGACAUUUAUUUUCGCUUUCCAUUAAUUUGUAGAUAAUUGCGUCUCCCAAAAUUAACGUUAGCUGUAGGAAAUGGUGAUGCAUUGUGAAAGCCCAAGCCAUCCUAUCCCUUUUUUAGGGCCAGCCUUGACGUCCCGGGGUCAUCUCUGCUUGCAGAAUCAAGUGAAGGAAGGACCAUCCUGUUUGCAGCUGCGCUGCAGCAAGCAGCUGUUGGACACGUUUGGAUGUUUCAGUGGGUUUGAAGUGGCAGUGGCCACACAGACAAGAAACCCCAUCUCAACCAAAGAUGCACCUGAAGUGGCUGUUUGAAUGUAACACACACACACCCAGGCAACAGAGACGAGAAGGAUCUGCUAGUGCGGAGGAAUUGUGUAUCCAAGGCCUGAACAAGAAACUCAAGGUAUUUGAACUUUGCAGUGCUUCUCCAAUCCCAGUUAAAAUCCUGAUACACUAAUUCAACAAAUUUUCUAAUUUUAAAUGCUUGGGUUUGACACCCUCUGGAACAGUACCUAAUGCUGUUGCUUCUCCAUCUCCCUCGGUUCUUGUGGCCACAGAAAUGUGGUGCGAGGUAAAUUAAGGGAACGUGAUUACAAGGACUUGUGAAAGAUCCGGUAGUCACCAGCUAAACUGUAUCAUAAAAAGAACCGAAGUCCCUGAAAAAGCUUGGAAGCAAAAUUGCUAUAAUUAAAAACUGAAAGCAACGACUUCGUAAAGAAGUAAACGAAGAGGCGGGCUCUUUGUAAAUGAUGAUCUAAAAAGUGUUAUGGGUUGUGAGACCUCAUUUCAAAUAUAUUCAUUAAAUAAUAUUUGAAUCAUUUAACAGUUUGAACUCUACUGCACUGCUAAUAUCUUCAGGGGAUUUCCCGCCCCCCCCCCCCAGUAACAAAGAAGUCUUUGUUCCUGCUCUGUGCUUGGGCUGUGCCUUGGAUAUGAGUUGGAAACCCGAUAGCCUGACAGCGCUGCAAGGCUGGAGUACAAUGUGAGUCUGCUUCGGGAUUAAAUCAGGCCUUUUGUAGAGGGAUGCUGAGGGGCCAUGUGAUCCUGGAGAAGGAUGGGUUAUGGAUGGCAGGAGAUGUUUAACCCUU